rnacentral:rRNA from 1 species
GAUGAACGCUGGCGGCGUGCCUAAUACAUGCAAGUCGAGCGAACAGACGAGGAGCUUGCUCCUCUGACGUUAGCGGCGGACGGGUGAGUAACACGUGGAUAACCUACCUAUAAGACUGGGAUAACUUCGGGAAACCGGAGCUAAUACCGGAUAAUAUAUUGAACCGCAUGGUUCAAUAGUGAAAGACGGUUUUGCUGUCACUUAUAGAUGGAUCCGCGCCGCAUUAGCUAGUUGGUAAGGUAACGGCUUACCAAGGCAACCAUGCGUAGCCGACCUGAGAGGGUGAUCAGCCACACUGGAACUGAGACACGGUCCAGACUCCUACGGGAGGCAGCAGUAGGGAAUCUUCCGCAAUGGGCGAAAGCCUGACGGAGCAACGCCGCGUGAGUGAUGAAGGUCUUCGGAUCGUAAAACUCUGUUAUUAGGGAAGAACAAAUGUGUAAGUAACUAUGCACGUCUUGACGGUACCUAAUCAGAAAGCCACGGCUAACUACGUG